rnacentral:rRNA from 1 species
AUCGAACGCUGGCAGCAUGCUUUACACAUGCAAGUCGAACGGUAACAGGUUAAGCUGACGAGUGGCGAACGGGUGAGUAAUGCAUCGGAACGUGCCCGGUCGUGGGGGAUAACGCAGCGAAAGCUGCGCUAAUACCGCAUACGAUCUGAGGAUGAAAGCGGGGGACCGUAAGGCCUCGCGCGAUCGGAGCGGCCGAUGUCAGAUUAGGUAGUUGGUGGGGUAAAGGCUCACCAAGCAAACGAUCUGUAGCUGGUCUGAGAGGACGACCAGCCACACUGGGCCUGAGACACGGCCCAGACUCCUACGGGAGGCAGCAGUGGGGAAUUUUGGACAAUGGGCGGAGGCCUGAUCCAGCAAUGCCGCGUGCAGGAAGAAGGCCUUCGGGUUGUAAACUGCUUUUGUACGGAGCGAAAAGGUCUCCUCUAAUACAGGGGGCUCAUGACGGUACCGUAAGAAUAAGCACCGGCUAACUACGUGCCAGCCGCCGCAGUAA